CCCAUGUAGGCACUGGCUGUGGUGUCUACCGUAGGUGGCCAGUGUAGUUCUGAGCAGCCACUAGGGAUAUGCCAGUCUGCGCUGCAGAAGCAGCAAACUUUACUCCUGGCUACGGCUCUAGAAAGCCACACUUCUCUGAGGGUUUGGAAUUACCGUUUCCUUUUAGAUUCUAAAAGUUUCUCCUCAGCCCUUGUUUGUUUCUUGUGUCAUUUCUGGACACCUUUCUCAGGUCCCUGACCCUCUCAGACUUAAACUAUGAGCCUCCGGCAGCUGCUGUUGCGCUUGUCCGGUUAUCUCGGGGCUUCUGGUCCCCCAAAUCGCCACUGGUGGUACUUCAGAUCUCUCGACACCAUCUCCUCGGUAGGCUCCUGGCGUGGUCGGUCCUCCAGGUCUCCAGCCCAUUGGAACCAGGUGGUGUCAGAGGCAGAGAAGAUCGUGGGUUACCCCGCAUCCUUCAUGAGCCUCCGCUGCCUGCUGAGCGACGAGCUCAGCAACGUCGCUAUGCAGGUGCGGAAGCUGGUGGGGACUCAGCACCCACUGCUUACCACUGCCAGAGUGGCUGCGAGGAGCCAAACUCAGACCCUCUACAAGCACUGCAAGCACAGGGAGCACAGGGAGCACCGCGAGCACAGGGAGCACCGCGAGCACAGGGAGCACCGCGAGCACAGGGAGCACAGCACAGGGAGCACAGCACAGGGAGCACAGUGAGCACAGGGAGCACAGCACAGAGAGCACAGCGAGCACAGCACAACGAGCACAGGGAGCACCGCGAGCACAGCACAGUGAGCACAGCGAGCACAGCACAGCGAGCAC
rnacentral:lncRNA from 1 species